ensembl:lincRNA
GCUUCUGAAUGGGGCUUUUGGGGGCAGCAGACUUCCACUUGGUGUAUCACUGAAUGGAACCACCUGUGGUUUCAGGCAGCUGCAGAGAGAACUAGACUGUCAAGUACUCAUCAUGUCCUAGAGAGAAACAUUAGGCUCAAUCCUCUAUUGGCCCUCCUCUGUAGGGAAGAAACACACAGUCUAGUAGGAGAAAAAAAAUUGUGAGAGGACUGCUGUACCUGGGUUCAGCAAUUUUCUAUUUUUCUGGUUAAAAUACUUUCUAAAUACAAGGUGGUAAAUCUCUUAAGAUCUGAGUGCCUUCCACCCCUAAAUCCAUUCCUCACAAGAACUGUUUAUCCAGUGUAGGGGAAAUGAACCAAGAACUUCAGGUCCAAGAUUUACUGCACCUGGGUCCUCUGAGAGAACUGAGAAGGCUGCUCACAGGUCCCUGCUCAUGGGGUAUCAGAUCCAAUGUGAUGUUCAACAGUUUCCCUUGUUUGCUGCCCUGUAGCUGCCUUUUUGUGAAGGGUCUUCAUACCUGCAGGAGGUGGAAAGAGGCUAAGGAGAAACAUUUGGCAUAUUAUAGUGUGAGCUCUUCCCCCUCUGUAUUACAAAUUCUCUGGGCACCAGGUGCAUUCUGCCCAAGUUAUUCAGAUGUGCCCAGCAGGAAUACUGGAUAUCAAAAUACUACUGUGUAUUUGCCUUCAGUGCCCUCCCUCAAGGAUUCUUUGGUUGUGCUGCAGGAUUAGGGAGGAGGUGGUUGUGGUGGUUGCAGUGGUUUGAGGCCACAGAUGGAGCAGAUUCUUUGCAUAAUGCCUGUCCUCUGUUGCCAUACUAGAGUCCCCACACCAAACACAAAUAUUUACCAUUUCUUAGCCCUCACCCCAUUACUCCAUUUCUACUAAUGUUGUCACUCCCCUAGUUUCUUUCCCAUUGCCAUCUAUUCUUCAUCCCUUUUGCCUCCCAUCCAUGUGCCUGGUGUUCAUAUCUCCUUCAUGUCUCUUCCUGGUAAUCUCCAUAUUUCUGCUGAGUGCCUACAAAAAAUGUAUUUUCAUGCCUAUCUUUAUACAUCAUUCAGGUACUCUUCAGCUCCCCCCAAAACACACACCACAGUCCCCAAAUUACCUUUCUUAGUGUCCCUCAUUACCUGUCAUGUGCAGCAACGCCAAUUUUCCCGUCGGGCACCCAACAACCCCCAUCCUCCAGUUUUCUAGUCCAGUGCCCACCUCCCCACGUCCGGGGAUCAAGGGCCUCAUGUGCCCAAAUGGGACACCUUGUUGCACUGCCUCUGCUGUGAGCUUGUGGUGGAAAAAGAAUCAGCAGACGAUGGGUUGGGUGUUUGCACAAGCUGAAAGGGUAGGAUCCAUAGAGGAGAAGCGUGUAUUGGAGGGCAGUGAGGAAGGUGAAGCGGAUUGAUGCAGUGUCCCCAGCACUGGACUCAAGGGCCCUUAGCCUCACUGCUGGCAGCAGCCGCUCUGCCACAUCUGGCUGCCACCAGCCUCUGCAGCUGCCACAUUCUCCUCCCUCUUCCCAUAGCUCAGUUUCCUGCCAGGAGAGAGGCCUCCCCUUCCUGCCAAACACCGCCCUUCCCCACACCAUCAUCAGGACUCACACUUACCACUGCCUUAAACCUGGGAGGCUCUUUUGGCUACCAGCUCCAUCCCUUUCCAGAGUAGGGAGCCUCUGGGCCCACAACACUCACAUCUCCGGUGCACCCCCUCUUCAGUUCAGGGCCCCCAGUCUUCUCACCACAGCCCCCACCUCAGUGGGGGCUUGAUCUUGAUGAAGAUCUUGAUGAAGUCUUGAUCUUGA